CUACAAUUUCAUCUCACAGAACUGCAGUUUAUGCCCCAGGUGAGAAGAUUCCAGACUUGGUUCUACAGCACUUGCAUGACUGUUAAUCCCAACAUACGACCUUGAUGGAGGAUUGCCACCCUCCUUGACACGCCACCAUUCAUCAUUGCUACGAUCAAGUUUUGAUGCUUUUCAACGUGACCCACUGAGGUCUAUGGUAUCAGAGCUUUGUACUGAUGGCCACAAUUCUCAGUGC
rnacentral:lncRNA from 1 species